GCUCACUGGCUAUUCGGGAAGAUAAUAAUUGACAGAUAGAUACUGGCACCGCCAUCAGCCGCUUUCAGAUGAAUCAGAUCACGCUGGUUUCUGCAGUUGUCGCUCCCGUUUUGAAACGACGGCGAUGCCAGCCUUCACCAUUUUUCCCUACUCAACUGUUUCGUCCUUUUAUUAUUUUUUAUUAGUAGCUUGCUCUCUUUUUUGUCCAUUUUGAUUUUUUUUGCACUCCCAAUAAACAGUAGCCGCAAUUUUUAUGGUCUUCAACGCUGGGAAAGCGAGAACAGAGAAAAAGAAAAUUACUUUCCCUUUUACCAAGCAAAAGGAGAAAAAGACUAGUUAAAGUUGGAAAUUUUCAAUUUGAUUGCCUCACUUUGAUCCAUGGCCUAUGAACUUACGCUCCUAAUUUGUUAACUGCGUCUGCAGAUUCAAGCCUCUUGUCAACUGGAUUCCCCCUCUCUCUGUGGUCUCUGUCAUUUUGGCGUUUUCUGUGUUUGUUCGAGUUAGCCACAAAAAUGUGGUCAUUUUUCUGGAUACAAUAUAGAAAAUAGAAGCUUGAUUUAGCUGCUGUUCAUCGAAAACAACAGUUGUUUUUAGAUGUAUCCAUUCGUUCGAAAGACCGUUGUCAUAGUUCGAGUUCUUUUUCUUUGAUUAUUCUGUUUGUUCGGAAGGGGGAAAGAAGGAAAAGGAGCUGCUUUCUGGGGAUGGAAAUAAUUUAGCUGAUAGUGGAGUGUGACAAAUAGGCGGUGGUUGGUCUUUUUGGUUGUUCUUCUACUUCUAUUUUCACUCCAAGUUGUAGAGGUUGAUUAGCGCUAUUGUGGAGAUCUGGGACUUGUUUCGUGUCCUAUGCCCCAUGAGGACUUUCUUCGCUACUGACUCCUGUAGAGAAGUGCAAUCAAAUGUUCUAAAUCCACAGUCAUGGCUCCAAGUAGAAAGAGGGAAACUUCCCAAACUGUCUUCACAGUCCUCUUCUGCGUCAAUCGAGUCUCUAAUCAAGGUCCCAGAGCCAUCUAUAUUGCCAUUCUUUAAACCUAUUGAUUAUGUGGAAGUUCUUGCUCAAAUUCAUGAAGAACUUGAGUCAUGUACCCCACAAGAGCGGUCAAACCUAUAUUUAUUGCAAUAUCAGGUCUUUAGGGGCCUUGGGGAAGUUAAAUUGAUGUGUAGAAGCCUCCGGGCAGCUUGGCAGAGAGCUAACACUGUUCAUGAGAAGAUAAUAUUUGGGGCUUGGUUAAAGUAUGAGAAACAAGGGGAAGAGUUGAUUGCUGAUUUGCUGAAAACUUGUGGUAAAUGUGCAAAGGAGUUUGGGCUAAUAGAUGUGGCAUCUCAUAUUCCUUUUGAUGUUGAUGAAAGUUUGCAGGAGAGAUUUUCGGUGAAUGGGAACCACAUUUCACAAUAUAUUAUUUUUACCAUUGGAAAUGAUAAGAUAAUUUGUGACAGACAUAAAAUGUCUGAACUUUCAGCACCAUUUCACGCGAUGCUAAAGGGAUCUUUCAGCGAGUCACUUUCUGAGACCAUUGAUUUGUCUGAGAACAAUAUCUCCCCUUCAGGUAUGAGGGCAAUAAGUUACUUCAGUCUGACAGGCAGUUUGUACGAUGUUCCUCCCAACCUAUUGCUGGAGAUGCUAGUUUUUGCUAACAAGUAUUGUUGUGAAAGACUCAAAGAUGCUUGUGAUAGGAGACUGGCAUCUCUAAUUUCCUCCAAAGAAGAUGCCGUGGAACUCAUGGAUUAUGCUCUUGAUGAGAAUUCUCCUGUCCUUGCUGCUUCUUGUUUGCAAGUCCUUUUAUGUGAUCUUCCGAACUGUUUGAAAGACAAUCGGGUGGUAGGGAUAUUUACUGAUGCUAAUAAGCAGCAGCUGGCAGUCAUGGUUGGGCACAGUUUAUUUUCACUUUACUGCUUAUUAAGUGAAGUUUCUAUGAACCUUGAUCCUAGUUCAGAUAUAGCAGUUCAGUUCCUGGAACGUUUGGUGGAUUUUGCUGAAACAGACAAGCAGAGACUCCUGGCAUUUCAUCAAUUGGGAUGCGUGAAACUCUUAAGGAAAGAAUAUGAGGAAGCCCGUUGCCUAUUUGAGGUUGCUGUAAAUGCAGGCCAUAUUUACUCUGUAACAGGUUUAGCUAGGUUGGAUUUUGCAAAGGGUGAGAAGCUUCUAUCUUAUGAGAAGCUCAGCUCAGUAAUUUCCUCUGUAACCCCAGCUGGGUGGAUGUACCAGGAAAGAUCACUAUAUUGUGAAGGUAACAAUAGGUGGGAGGACCUUGAGAAAGCAACUGAUCUAGACCCUACGCUUAUAUAUCCCUACAUGUAUAGGGCUGCUAAUUUAAUGAGGACUCAAAAUGUUCAAGCUGCCCUAGAAGAAAUCAAUAGGAUACUUGGUUUCAAACUUUCAUUGGAAUGCUUGGAACUGCGUUUUUUUCUCAAUCUAGCUCUUGAGGACUACAAAGCAGCCCUCUGUGACGUUCAAGCAAUUCUUACUCUGCAUCCUGAUUAUAGAAUGUUUGAGGGGCGAGUAGCAGCAUCCCAAUUCCGCACUCUUGUACGUGAGCAUGUUGAACAUUGGACUACAGCAGAUUGUUGGGCACGAUUGUAUGAUUGUUGGUCUGCAGUUGAUGAUAUUGGGUCUCUCUCUGUUAUCUAUCAGAUGCUUGAAUCUGAUGCAGCAAAGGGCGUCCUAUAUUUCAGACAGUCAUUGCUUCUUCUUAGGCUAAACUGUCCUGGGGCAGCUAUGCGGAGUUUACAAUUAGCUCGCCAACAUGCAACAAGUGAGCAUGAACGACUUGUAUAUGAGGGGUGGAUCUUGUAUGAUACAGGUCACUAUGAGGAAGGGCUCCAGAAAGCUGAAGAAUCUAUUGGUAUCAAACGGUCCUUUGAGGCUUUCUUCCUGAAGGCCUAUGCAUUGGCUGACUCCAGUCUUGCUUCAUCAUGUUCUUCGACUGUUAUUUCACUUCUGGAAGAUGCAUUGAAGUGUCCAUCAGAUAAUCUUCGCAAAGGUCAGGCACUGAACAAUCUUGGUAGUGUAUUUGUUGACUGCGGGAAUUUAGAGUCGGCAGCUGAUUGUUACAACAAUGCCCUUAAAAUCGGGCACACCCGAGCGCACCAGGGUCUUGCUCGUGUUUAUUUUUUCAAAAACGACAAGGCUGCCGCCUACAAUGAAAUGACCGACCUUAUUGAGAAGGCAAAAAACAAUGCGUCUGCCUAUGAGAAGAGAUCUGAGUACUGUGCGCGGGAACUCGCAAAGGCUGACCUGGAGAUGGUGACUCGACUAGAUCCACUUAGAGUAUAUCCUUACAAAUAUCGAGCUGCAGUAUUGAUGGACAAUCACAAGGAAGAGGAAGCCAUUGCGGAACUGUCCAGAGCAAUUGCAUUUAAAGCAGAUUUGCACCUCUUACAUCUGCGUGCAGCAUUCCAUGAACACAAAGGGGAUGUUUUAGGUGCCCUCCGAGACUGUCGGGCUGCGCUCUCAGUGGACCCGAACCAUCAAGAGAUGUUGGAACUUCACAGUCGAGUUAAUAGCCAUGAACCAUGACUAAACCAACAUGAAUUUUCUGAGUGGGUUAAGCACAUAUGCCUUGAAAAGCGGACGGUGGAGUGAUCGACGCAACUUAGCAGCCAUCAGCCAUAUGCAAACAUUAGUUAUGAAGGGAAUUGGAGGGAGAGAAAUGGAAGAAGUAGAACCCAUCAUCUUGUUCUGGUUUACAUGAAAAAGGUUCUCUGCAGUAGUGAGCUCCAUCGAAUCUGAUGGAAUUGGUUCCUUAAAUAGAUGAAUUGAAUUGACUUCCUCAUUUUGCCAUCUUUAUCAUCUUGAUGGCAAUGUUCAUCGACAGCAACAUGGAGGAGGUUGCGAUGGUCCUUGACUAACAACAACGCCUCACAAAUCACAAUCAUGAUCUUCUAGGUGCCCAGUGACAAAGGUGCUUAAAUCAGUUUUUUCCAAGACGAAGUAGAGCAUCUUCGAUCUGCCUCUUAAAUCUGCUUCUUGGAUCUCCAUCCUUCUCUGAUCUCCUAUGACCAUGAUGAUGACGGAGAGCCAGCAACAAUUUCUGGACAAUUUGCUUCUUCACUGUGCUUGGUCUUCAAUUUCUGGACAAUGUGCUUCUUCGCUUUAUUCAAUCUGCUUCUUUGCUUCUUUGAUUUGCUUGGUCUUUCUUUGAUAUCUUGUUUGGAUUUAAUUUCUGGAAAAUUUCCGGCAACAGUGGUGGUCACUUCAAGGCUGGUGGACGGUAAUUCUGAGAACUGGUGGACGGAGGUGGCAAUACUUGUUGGCAGUUCAUUUUUUUUUUUAUUUCGUAGGUAUUUUGGUCUUUUCAAAAUAUAAAUAUAUUUAUUAAAUAAAAUUUUUA